rnacentral:rRNA from 1 species
GAUGAACGCUAGCGGCAGGCCUAACACAUGCAAGUCGAGGGGCAGCACGGGUGGCAACACCUGGUGGCGACCGGCGCACGGGUGCGUAACGCGUAUGGAACCUACCCUCCGCAGGGGGAUAGCCCGCCGAAAGGCGGAUUAAUACCCCAUGGCUCCGAAGUCCCGCAUGGGGCGACGGAUAAAGCUACGGCGGCGGGGGAUGGCCAUGCGUGCCAUUAGCUGGUUGGCGGGGUAACGGCCCACCAAGGCGACGAUGGCUAGGGGGUCUGAGAGGAUGGUCCCCCANACUGGUACUGAGACACGGACCAGACUCCUACGGGAGGCAGCAGUGAGGAAUAUUGGUCAAUGGGGCGAAGCCUGAACCAGCCAUGCCGCGUGCAGGACGACGGCCCUACGGGUUGUAAACUGCUUUUCUGCGGGAAGAAUAACCCCCUCGUGAGGGGGGAUGCCGGUACCGCAGGAAUAAGGAUCGGCUAACUCCGUG